rnacentral:misc_RNA from 1 species
GAUGAAGAACGUAGCGAAAUGCGAUAAGUAAUGUGAAUUGCAGAAUUCAGUGAAUCAUCCAAUCUUUGAACGCACAUUGCGCCCGCCAGUAUUCUGGCGGGCAUGCCUGUUCGAGCGUCAUUACAACCCUCAGGCCCCCGGGCCUGGCGUUGGGGAUCGGCGGAGCCCCCCGUGGGCACACGCCGUCCCCCAAAUGCAGUGGCGGUCCCGCCGCAGCUUCCAUCGCGUAGUAGCUAACACCUCGCGACUGGAGAGCGGCGCGGCCACGCCGUAAAACACCCAACUCUUCUGAAGUUGACCUCGAAUCAGGUAGGAAUACCCGCUGAACUUAAGCAUAUCAAUAAGCGGAGGA